rnacentral:rRNA from 1 species
UAACAGCUCCCCGAGUGGUCGGGACGGUUAUUUGGCCUAAAGCAUCCGUAGCCGGCCCUGUCCGUCUUCCGUUAAAUCUAACGGCCCAACCGUUAGGCUGCGGAAGAUACCACAGGGCUAGGGGGCGGGAGAGGUGGACGGUACUCCAAGGGUAGGGGUAAAAUCCUCUGAUCCUUGGAAGACCACCGGUGGCGAAGGCGGUCCACCAGAACGCGCCCGACGGUGAGGGAUGAAAGCUGGGGGAGCGAACCGG